GGUCUUCCCGACAAAGGCGAGAGCGCCUAUAUCGGUUCCGCCGGUUCGCCGGCUAUGACGAUAAACCAUGGCGUAGAAUAGAUGCAGCGGACCCGGGGGCGGUACCCGGCGGCUCCACCAUCCGAGCUGAGGCGCUCGGCGCCACGCUUCACGCGUGGGGACGAUGCCUCAGCUUCCAUGAUGGGGCCGAACUAGGAUCGACGUGUAUUGAAAGGCGCCGUCUUUCGUUCGGAAUGGGACCACCGUGACGGCCCAUCACACAAGUGCCAACGAUAACGAAGCACUCGCGAUUGCGGCGUAACUGAGGGCCUCACGGCCUAAGGUUACUCCAAGAUAGCGCGGUUCGGACCCCACCGGGCAACAGAAGGGGAUUCCA
rnacentral:tmRNA from 1 species